rnacentral:snRNA from 1 species
GUCCUUGCUUCGCAGCACAUAUACUAAAAUCGGAACAAUACGAAGAUUAGCAUGGCCCCUGCACAAGGAUGACAGGCAAUUUCGUGACGCGUUCUACAUUUUU